rnacentral:rRNA from 1 species
GUGUCAGCCGCCGCGGUAAUACAGAGGUGGCAAGCGUUGUUCGGAAUUACUGGGCGUAAAGGGCGAGUAGGCGGCCUUCUAAGUCAGACGUGAAAUCCCCCGGCUUAACCUGGGAACUGCGUCUGAUACUGGGAGGCUAGAGUUUGGGAGAGGGAGGUAGAAUUCCAGGUGUAGCGGUGAAAUGCGUAGAUAUCUGGAGGAAUACCGGUGGCGAAGGCGGCCUCCUGGACCAAUACUGACGCUGAUCCGCGAAAGCUAGGGGAGCAAACGGGAUUAGAUACCCCGGUAGUCCUAGCCCUAAACGAUGAAUACUUGGUGUGGCGGGUAUCGAUCCCUGCCGUGCCGAAGCUAACGCAUUAAGUAUUCCGCCUGGGGAGUACGGUCGCAAGGCUGAA